rnacentral:rRNA from 1 species
GACAGAGGGUGCAAACGUUGUUCGGAAUUACUGGGCGUAAAGCGCGUGUAGGCGGCUAAGUAAGUCGGGCGUGAAAUCCCACGGCUCAACCGUGGAAGUGCACUCGAAACUGCAUAGCUAGAGUCCUGGAGAGGAAGGUGGAAUGCUUGGUGUAGAGGUGAAAUUCGUAGAUAUCAAGCGGAACACCGGUGGCGAAGGCGGCCUUCUGGACAGUGACUGACGCUGAGACGCGAAAGCGUGGGGAGCAACAGG